AUAGAGACAAAAAGACUAAACAAAUAUACAACACAAAGGGGUAUAUUUGUCAAUUUGCUCAUCAACCACACGUGUGACCUUCUUUUUCAGAUUUUAUAUUUUAAUUUUUUUCUUCUCUUUCACACCGUUCUCUCUUUCACGUAAAAAUUAAAGAAAUUCAUCUCCAUCUCAGCUCCAUCUCCAUCUCUGGAAAUCGUCAUCUCCAUCAAAGCUCAAUCUUCUCCCUCUCUGCAAAAUUCCUUCUCCCUCUUUGCGACAAAACCCUAACACAAUCGUCCCCUUUCUUCGACGAAAUCAGAAAUACGUUGAACUCAUUCAUCCGAUUCAAGGUUAGUUAAUUGUUCCUUUUGAUUUUUCUCUUCUCCUUAUUCUUCAAAAGAUAAGAUUCUGAUUUUAAUUUCCCUUUUGCUUAUAGUUAUUUGAUAUGCUUGAUUUAGGGUAUAAAUUGGGGAUUCUGAUUCGUGAAUAUGUUUAAUAUUGAUUUUCUCAACUUAAUUUCAUGAUUGACAAAACUGAAAUCAUAUUAUUAGUAGUUUAAGUUGUGGAGUUAUGUUUGUUGUAAUGUUAUGAAUUGAAAAAAAAGACAUGAUAAAUACAGGAAAACAAAAUAAACAGUAGUCAUGUGUUAAAAUGUGGGUAGUUGUUUGAAACACUUGGUUGAUGUAGGAGUUUCUGUCAAAAAUUAAAAAGUUGACACAAAUUAUGGGUGGUGAAAUCAUGAAUAUACCCCUCUUAUGUUUCUAUACUUAAACAAAACUGAAAUCAUGUUAUUAGUUUAAAUUGUGAAAUUAUGUUUGUUGUAAUGUUAUGAGUUGAGAAAAUAACAUCAUAAACACAGGGAAAAAAAUGUGGGUAGUCAUGUGUUAAUGUGUGGAUAGUUGGUUGAAACAUUUGGUUAAUUUAAAUUUUCUUUCAAAAAUUGGAAGGUUGACGCAAGUUAUGUGACUUGUAAUACUUUAUUUUUGCAACUUAUGAUACAAUUGAUUUAAAUGAGUUCUUUUAUGUAGUUUUGAUUUGACACUUGCACCCAAAAAAAAAUAUUCAUGGAUAGUUCUUUCUUUGUCGAUCAAUUUCUAUUUGUCGCUCUUCUCCGUUGUUUUCUCUUUUCGGUAGAAAGUGUAAUUGUUCGGGGCUAACAUUAUUUGGGAAAUGGAUGAACAAUGAUAUUUGCAAAAGGAAAUCAUGCUUAUUUGAUAAGUGAAUAAUAGUCUAUAUAUUUGGUAUUCUAGAUGAUGAGGCAUUAAAAUGCGUACUAUGAAUUAUCAUGGGGCGUUAUAGAAGUAUCAGUUUGGUUGCAUUUCUUUGAAGUGUUAGUAUCAUUGGAAGUGGAAGCUUUCUCUUUGUAAGAGGUGUACAUAGUCCUACAUAUGAGUAUAUGUGCUUUUUGGCAUAGUGCUUUAAUUAAGCAAACCGAUAUAAGAUGUACAUGUCAAAUUUUUCUAUUUUUUUAAUGAAUGAAAUCUUCCAAAUCAUCUGAUUAAUUUUGAAUUGAUUCAUUUGUUUACUAUGCAAAAGUUGGACUAAGAUUAUUAUAGAAGCAUUAACAUUCUUGCAUUUUUAGGUUGGUUCAUGGAAUGCAGUGCUUAGAUCAAUCGACUUUUGAUCAACAUGACAAGUGAUUGAUAUCAUCAUUGAGUAGUAAAGGCUCAACUCACGUCAUGAAAUCAAAGAAGUUCCAGCUCUUGCACCAAUUUUUGAACAAUUCUCAUGUUAUGUCUAUUGGGUUAUCAUCACCAUUGUUGCAAUUGUAUGCCUCACUCCUGACUCAUGAGCUUUAUUGUUAUUAUUAUUGUUGAGACCUUGUACAUAAUUAAUUUAUCUACAUUAAUACAAUUAACAGUCACUAAUAAUUUUCAUUUUACUUUCAGGGAUCCAAUUUAUGAGAAGCUGUUUGGAACUUGAAUGGUACCACGAUUCAAACUAAUGGUGUAAAGAAGUGUAAAUAACUCUCUGAAAAUUUUAUGUUCACUCAAUGUCAUGGAUACUAUGCUAAUUAAACUAUCAAAAUGUUGCAUGAUAAAAAUUUAUCUUCAGAAAGAGUAGCUAGCAAAACAUGUAUAUCAUAAAUAUUGAACUAAUGUGCAUACUAAAAGUAGAGAAUUAUAUAGAUCCAGAGAAACUUGUAGGAUGUGGGAUGUAGUACUCUUCACGCAUAGACUAAAGUACAUAUUAGUAUGUGGGAAGAGCAUAUGGUUUUAAUUGACGUGUGGCAGAGUGUAUUUACUUAACAAUAUAAUAAUUGUCUAUUUUUUGUGUUUUUUUAUCGGCAUACUUACCUACAUGAUAUUGCUCUCCAGGUAUAUAUUGCUUAAAACCACCCUAUUUUUUCUUAGCUAUACCCAUAUAUGUUUCUAGCUCGUGCUUUAUUUUUCUAAUUCUAUUUAUUUUUCAAAACAAUUUUUUUCUAUUUUCUUUGUAGUAAUUGAUGAUUGGUUAUUUGAAAUGAUGUUUGUAAAGUUGGCACCGUUUGCAAGUAACCAAGAUGAAUAUAGAGACCAAUUCAGUUUUGUAGACUGUAGUGAUAUGGUUUCAGAACUUGUGGUUACUGGAAUAUAAAGAGUUUGUUUUGUUGAGAGUUGUAUUUUGAAGAUAUACUACUAGAGCUUGGUAUUGCCGAGAGCUGCAGCUAAGUUGGUGGAGCGGUCCAUUAUUCUGAACCCUGGUCUAUGCUUUUGAAUAUUUGAGUUGCAAAUUUUGUUUUUAGAGCAACAAGAGCAUUGUGUAAUACUAUUGUAUAUGUAGAUAUGUAAUUUUUAAGUAUUUGAUCAUGUAGUUUCCAUGUUUUCGAAUAUUAUAAAAUCAUAAUAAAAUUCUAUGGAUAUUUGAUUUA
rnacentral:lncRNA from 1 species